UACGGGGGGGGCAAGCGUUGUUCGGAAUUACUGGGCGUAAAGGGCUCGUAGGCGGCCAACUAAGUCAGACGUGAAAUCCCUCGGCUUAACCGGGGAACUGCGUCUGAUACUGGAUGGCUUGAGGUUGGGAGAGGGAUGCGGAAUUCCAGGUGUAGCGGUGAAAUGCGUAGAUAUCCGGAGGAAUACCAAAGGCGAAGGCAGUGUCCUGGCUGGCAUCUGACGCUGAGGCGCGAAAGCUAGGGGAGCGAACAGG
rnacentral:rRNA from 1 species